rnacentral:lncRNA from 1 species
CCAUCCUAAAUAAACAAAUCAACAAACAAAAAGAUUCCAUGAUCCAAUGAUUUGGGAAAUGUUGGAUAAAAAUGUUUCUUACUGCCUCAAUUACAGAAAAUCUCAACAUUAUAAAAUGUGGUGUAAGUUUCCAAAAAAGAAGAUAUGGUGCGUAUUUGACCAUGGACAGCCCUGUAGGCUUUUAAAGAGAGCACCCCUCUCGAAUGAUCCAUGCUGGGAGGUGAGACAUUCUAAUACAUCUAGCAGAUUCCAGUGGAAAGUACAGAUUUGCUCAAUGCUUUGGUGCUGUGAUGAAUCUCCAUUUUCCAGACGAGAAAACUGAGAGAUCAGAAAGGUCAAGUGCCUUUCCCCAGGUCACACAGCAGGGUGGUGGUGGAGACUACUGUGCAAACUCAGUCUGGCUCUGCAGCCUCCACGUUCCAUCACUAGGCUAGUCACACUCUCCUAUAACCUGCUUUUAUCAUGUAACUGAUCACAUUUAUAUUUCCAUGUCAAUAAAUAUAGACUGCAU